CGCGAGGUAUAUAUAAGGAAUCACCCCUUACCAUUCCGAACAGGGAAGUUAAGACCGUUUGCGCCGAUGGUACUGCUAUACCAAGUGGGAGAGUAGGUAGCCGCCUUUUU
rnacentral:rRNA from 2 species